GAUAAACGCUGGCGGCGUGCAUGAGACAUGCAAGUCGAACGGACGAUCAGGGCUUGCUCUGAUCGUUAGUGGCGGACGGCUGAGUAACGCGUAGGUGACCUGCCCCGAAGUGGGGAAUAACUGCCCGAAAGGGUGGCUAAUACCGCAUGUGGUGGUGCCUUCAUGGGCACCAGUAAAGCCGCAAGGCGCUUCGGGAGGGGCCUGCGUCCGAUUAGCUCGUUGGUGGGGAACGGCUCACCAAGGCGACGAUCGGUAGGUGGUCUGAGAGGACGAUCACCCAGACUGGGACUGAGACACGGCCCAGACUCCUACGGGAGGCAGCAGUCGGGAAUUUUGCGCAAUGGACGAAAGUCUGACGCAGCAACGCCGCGUGAGGGAUGACGGCCU
rnacentral:rRNA from 1 species